CAUUUUGCAAAAAAAGAAAAAACACCUAUCUCUCGUUAUAUUUUUUUUAUUUUGGUCCUUGAACUCAUCUUCCUUUCUCUUUAUAUCGUUCCACUUUCCUCACCUCACCGAGUAAAAGAUUUACACACCUAUAAACGGGAGUAAAAAAAUAAUCACGCUUAAAGUCGGGAGUGAAAAUUUUACUCAUGCUUAAAACCAAAGAUUUACUCAUAUCUAUAAUCAAAGUAAAAAAAUUUACUCACGUUUAAAGUUGGGAGUGAAAAUUUUACUCAUGCUUAAAACCAAGAGUAAAAAAAUCACUCUUUGUGGAUUUUGAAGGUAAAAAUAUUACAAAUGUUGUAUCCUAUCAGUAAAAAAAUUACAACCAAUAUUUAUCCAUGAAUUAAAGAGUAAAAAAAAUUAUACAGCAAAAAAAGAAAAAAAAAGGAAAAGUGGCGACGGCAAAGGGGCGGCUGCGGCGUAUGUCCCGAUGCGGCGAGGUCGGGGAUAGAGGCGGAGGGAUGCGGCAGCACAACGACGGGCAGGAGCGCGAGCAGACACAGCGAAGGAGGCGACGACAACGGGAGGGAGCAGCCGGUCCGGGGUCGACGACGAGCAGCGCGCGUGAAUCUCGACCGGUCCCCUUUCUUCCCCCUCUUUCUCCUCGCAACUGCCGGCGUCGUCCUCCCUCUCUCCUCGCUCCUGCCGAUCGGGGACGACGGGGCCAUGCUCGCACUCGUCAUGGGCGUCAGAUCUGCUCGGUGCCGCCAACCUCCCCUCGCCGGCUGUGAAUAGAUAUCCCAUCGUGCACAUUUCUUUUUACCUUUCAUUUUUUUGUGCUCAAUGUAAUUUCUUUACUCGAAUUCAUUAAUUGCAGUAAUUUUUUUAUUCUCAAAUUUGACACUGAGUUAUUUUUUCGCUCACAAAUUCCCAACUCGGAUGAAGAUGGUAAGGAGAGAGGGUGAGGAAGCCAGAUUGCCAGAGGGACUAAAAUGCAAAACUUUCUUUGGUGGUGGGCGGUUUUCUGCAAAAUGCACGGUGAGGGAGGAGGGGAUUGAUCUUGCACGUUCAUGCUAGUCUGCUAGAUCCAACGGUGAAAGAUGGAAGUUGCACGAUUACACUAAAUUGUGCUAUUGCACCUGAUACUUCCCCCCAAGGGAAACAUAUUCAUGGUGUUUCUUGAGUCCAUGGGAGUAUAGCCGAUGAUGGAUUGGGACUAGGUUUGGUAGAAGUUAAAGGUCCAGACGAUCAACGAUAUCAUGCAUGAUUCUCAAGCUAGAGAACAAUGCAUGUGGAGGUGAAUGUUUUCAUAUGGUAUACAUGUGGUGUUGUGUGCGUAUGGUUUCCAAAGAUGUUUUCUUUUGCUCUACGGAUAACUCGUGCUUGUAACAAGAAAAACAAACUUAGUGUAUGCAUCUUUCUUGCAAGGAGAAUAAAAACAAGUGAAUUGAAUA